rnacentral:tRNA from 1 species
AAUUGGUUAGCUCAGUCGGGUAGAGCAACGCACCACUAAUGCGUCUGUCACGGGUUCGACUCCCGUACCAAAGC